AUCCUUUUGUAGUUCAUAAGUGUGACGAUUGGGUUUUCACAACCAUGCGUGAGAUGUGCCUCCCUCAAACCCUGUUACGAUGUCAGCUCAUUACCUAUCUGACA
rnacentral:snoRNA from 1 species